rnacentral:rRNA from 1 species
CAAUAGCGUAUAUUAAAGUUGUUGCAGUUAAAAGGCUCGUAGUUGGAUCUGUGGUGUGCGGUGGGCUCCGGGCACUUGUUGUCUGAGUAGCUCGCCGCUGCCAUCCUUGGGUGGAACCUGUGUGGCAUUAGGUUGUCGUGCAGGGGAUGCCCAUCGUUUACUGUGAAAAAAUUAGAGUGUUCAAAGCAGGCUUAUGCCGUUGAAUAUAUUAGCAUGGAAUAAUGAGAUAGGACUUUUUCGCUAUUUUGUUGGUUUGCGCGAAGAGGUAAUGAUUAAUAGGGACAGUUGGGGGUAUUCGUAUUCCAUUGUCAGAGGUGAAAUUCUUGGAUUUUUGGAAGACGAGCUACUGCGAAAGCAUUUACCAAGGAUGUUUUCAUUAA